CCCACACUAAAGGACGGUCAGUCAAGCUGCAUGUGUGGGAAAGGUUUGUUAUUCUCAGGGUGAAAAGGAUAAGUUAUAUAUAGACAAAUGGGAUACAGCUGGUUAUCUAAAAAAGAACCAACACGAAUAUAGUGUGAUACCGUUCUAAAAUGGACAUAAAUAUAGUGUGAUACAGUUAUAAAAUGCACUAAUUACACUUUUAUUGGGUGCUUUUACAAGAUGUAUGGUAGUUAGCACUCAAGCUGCCUCCCCGAUGGUAAUGGGGGGUAAUUUUAUAACUGUAUCACACUAUAUUCAGGUAAAUUCCUUUUUAGAUAACCAGCUGUAUCCCAUUUGUCUAUAUAUACCUAUAACUUGCUUAAAGGACAACUAUAGUGCCAGGAAAACAAACUUGUUUUCCUGGCACUAUAUGGUCUUUAGGUCCCCCCCACCCUCAGGGUCCCACUCCCACCUGGCUGAAGGGGGAAGAAGGGGUUAAUCACUUACCUUUCUCCAGUGCCGAGCUCCCUCAGCGCUGGGGAAAUCUCCUCCUUUUUCCGUCAGCAUUGAAUGCGCAUGAGUGCUUUCCUAUGGACGGAAGCGUCUUCUCACUGUGAUUUUCACAGUGAGAAG